AUGGAGAGCCCCGAUGCCCCCGAGGGCGAAAAUCCUCUGCCUCCCGACGUGCGGCCGUCCUUGCCGCCGGCGACCCAUUCGUCACCGCCUCUGGCAGCGCCGCCGCCGCGGGUGAAUGAGGACGGAUCGGCCCGGCUUUACUCGGAUCUCGGGGGAUGCAUCGGGGCGGAGGCGAUUCAGGAGAGGGCGCAGGUGGAGAGGACGACCCCGGUGCAGUGGCGCGUCCAUUUCACCGAUCGCGACUCCGGAUGGAUCGAGGGUCGUCUCUCAGAAUCUCCGGUGUCCCGUUGGGAAGCGCUGCGCGAUAUGAACAACGACAUCCUCGCCGGAGAAUACCUAGAUGCCGAUGUCCGGAUCGAGGUAGGUGUUUGGAUUUCGAUUGACGUAUACGAUGUGGUUGUCGAUUGUUGCAUGCAGGUAGUUCAUGAGGAGACGGUGGAUCUCGUCGACUUGACGAAGACGCCCAAAGAUCCGAGAUCGGAGGCGAUGCCUAGCGGGGCGCCUGGGGCGAAUGGGGCGACGGCCUGCGGGGCGACCGCGGGUGCGUUGCCGGGUGCCGCCGGUGAUCGACGACGGGUGGGGGGCCGGUUUUGGGCACUAGCUGGUGCCGACGAGGACGACACGGAGGGGGACACGGAUGAGGCGCCGCCAUCAUCGCUGUCGCCGACGCCUUCGGACCAGCUUUGCGAGCUCUUCCAUGCGGGCUACACGGAAGCGGAAGUGGUGACGACAAUCGAUAAAGUGCUGCCUCUCGACGAUCCGGCCAGGAUAGGGUUGCACAAGGGAGAGAAGGAGGAGAUGGUGCGCCGCGUGGUGCAUCGUCGGACGGCGGCAACGGCGGUAAGGCCUUGGAAGGGUCCUAUCCCGAAGGUUAUUUUUCGAGCUACAGCAUUGAUCCGUUCGUGGUCGCUACUCACUCCGAUAGAGGCCAGGGAGCAUUUGGUUACUGGAUCUAUCAGUUGGGAGAUGGUAGCUCGGGAUAUAUUCAACCGGUUUGGAUGGCGGUCAUGUAAUAGGAUAGGCAAUUAG
rnacentral:rRNA from 1 species